AACAACAGGGGGAAGAUGGCUCAGAGUUAGGCUGGAGAGGGGCGGUGUCCCUUCCGCCGCAGCCGCGGGGUUUCUGCUACAUCCCAUUCGCCACCUCCGCCAUCCUUUUUUCUGUGUGAGCAGAAGGGCUUGCAGUUGUUCUCUCCUGCCUAGUGUCUUCCAAGGGAUAGAUGCCAUUUCUUCUGCUGGUCUCUGGGGGUGAGGAGGGGCGCAGGGGAGCUUCUUGGGGGAAUCGCUCCAACUCUGUGGAGCUGGUGGUGCUGCCUGGUGGGGCUCUCUCUGCCCAGGACGUGGAACAACUUUCAGCCGGAGGACUAGAGGAAAUAGUUGUAGGGGAGGAAAAAUUGUUUCCUUCUAGCCUUUUAGGUCAUUUGGCUGGUCUACAAAUUAAAUUGAUGUAAGACAGAGGAACAUGAGAAAAACGAUUUGUCGACCGAAAGGUGAAAUAACAGUCUGGAAUUUUGCCGCUUCUUGGUUGACAGAAUCCAAGGGUAUAUUGUCACAGUUUUUAAAUACUAGUGGCAAGAUCACAACAGAAAGGAAGAGUUUCAAGACGUGAGUGACAUGGGAUAAAGGAGGAAGCUCCCCAAGGAACAGAUGAUGGUGACAGCAGUACCAGUAGCAGCAGGAGCAGAGAAGACUCCAGCCUGAUGUCUAUGGGACCUGAGUCCACACUGUGGAGGGCACAAGCUGUGGGAGGGCCUGGAAGACACGCCUCAGAGAUUCUCCCAGUCCUGCCACCCUGUGGGAGACACUUCAAAGGAAUCGUAAACUCAUGUGACCAGCAGGGAGGACAACGAUGAAGAAACUUUCCUGCCUAAAAUCAGCUGCUGUCCAGAGCUAGCACCUGGAAGGAGACACUCCCUCUCCUGGGGUCACAUCUUCACUGCAAG
rnacentral:lncRNA from 1 species